rnacentral:rRNA from 1 species
GCAAAUUGACACCGUAACUUCGGGAGAAGGUGUGCCGCUGGCGGUUAGUGACUUCGCGUCACGAAGCUGUCGGUGGUCGCAGUGAAAUGGCGGUUGUGACUGUUUACUAAAAACACAGGACUCUGCGAAGUCGUAAGACGACGUAUAGGGUCUGAUGCCUGCCCGGUGCUGGAAGGUUAAGGGGAUAUGUCAGCGCAAGCGAAGCAUUGAACCGAAGCCCCAGUAAACGGCGGCCGUAACGAUAACGGUCCUAAGGUAGCGAAAUUCCUUGUCGGGUAAGUUCCGACCUGCACGAGGGCAUAACAACAUCCGCACUGUCUCGACCAGGGACUCAGCGAAAUUACAUUGGGGGUGAAGAUGCCCUCUACCCGCGGAAAGACGGAAAGACCCCAUGAACCUUUACUGCAACUUGGCAGUGAUUUUCGGGUUGUUCUGCGUAGGAUAGGUGGGAGGCUUUGAAGCCGGGCUUCCGGGUUCGGCAGAGCCAACGUUGAAAUACCACCCUGAAUAAUCUGGAAAUCUAACCUGCGCCCAUGAUCUGGGCGAGGGACACUGCCUGGUGGGCAGUUUGACUGGGGCGGUCGCCUCCUAAAUUGUAACGGAGGCGUGCGACGGUUCCCUCAGGCUGAUUGGAAACCAGCCGUAGAGUGCAAACGCAUAAGGGAGCUUUACUGCGAGACUGACAAGUCGAACAGUUGCGAAAGCAGGUGUUAGUGAUCCGGUGGUACCACAUGGAAGGGCCAUCGCUCAUCGGAUAAAAGGUACUCUGGGGAUAACAGGCUGAUCGCGCCUGAGAGUUCACAUCGGCGGCGCGGUUUGGCACCUCGAUGUCGGCUCAUCGCAUCCUGGGGCUGGAGCAGGUCCCAAGGGUUUGGCUGUUCGCCAAUUAAAGCGGUACGCGAGCUGGGUUUAAAACGUCGUGAGACAGUUUGGUCCCUAUCUUCCGUGGGCGCAGGACACUUGAGAGGAGCUAUCCAUAGUACGAGAGGACCUGGAUGGACGAACCUCUGGUGCUCCGGUUGUCACGCCAGUGGCAUAGCCGGGUAGCCAUGUUCGGAACAGAUAACCGCUGAAGGCAUAUAAGCGGGAAGCUGGCCUCAAGACUAGGUGUCCCUGACGCAAGUCACUAAAGGCCCCUCGAAGACUACGAGUUUGAUAGGCUCGGUGUGGAAGCGCUGCGAGGCGUGGAGCUAACGAGUACUAAUAGGCCGUGCGACUUGACCCC